UGGCUGAAAAUCUCAGAGUUCCCUGGGUGGGAUCUGAAACUGGACCUGAAUAUAGAGAGCAAGGAGAGACCAAGAGGCAGAUUGGUAGGUGGUGGGUUUGAUAAACGUUCCCAGAGGCUUACCUCGGGCAGCUGCAAGAGGAGUGGAUCCCAGCAUCCACCAUCCGGCAGGAUCUCAAAAGCCCGCCUCCGCUUGCCCACUGGCUCACGGGUGAGCGCAGUCGCGACCUCUCCGUGACCUCCUCCACCACGUGCCUGGCCCCGUGGCCAGCGUGUGCUGGCCUUGGCUCAGACCCAGGUGGUUAAAGGCGAACUGGAGACCCCAAGGAGGUCCCGAGGAGAGGGUGGCAGGAGAAGGCGGAGGCGCGAGGACCCUCGGCUCCCAGGAGAAGGGACCCAGCAGCUGCUGAAUGUAGUGUUAAGACCGGCACGUGAUAGCCCGGCCUCCCAGCUCUUCUCACGGCCGAGCCGUGUUCACAGCGAGGAGUGAGUGAGCGUCUCAGUGAGCGGGGUCAGCCCAGCAGGACCAGGAGAUGCAGAACCUGUAUUGUAUCAAGAUCUAAGGAAAAUUUUUCUGGUGUUUCCACAGAAGAGGUUUUAGGACCAGGCUUAUGCUGGCUUCAUAAAAUGAAUUGAGAAGGAGAGUUUUAGGUUAAUAGAAGAGUUGCAAGGAUAUAACAGCAGGAGAAAGGAGAAGCAACAGUUUGAGGGCUGUGUGGUUUCUCUGAGAGGAAACUGUCCUGGGAUACUUGGGUGUCCGUGGAGCAAGAAACAUGCAAAGGGGAAGUUUCUUCAAAUAAUGCUGCCUGCAGGAUCCUGGAAGCCCUGGAACCUCAAAUCCUAGCUCUUCGAGGAGAGUCCAGUUUCUUCCAUCAACAUGGACCUCAGGACCCUGGUGGGAGGAAGGGCCUGGAAGGUAAGCCUGCUGCUAAGUCGCUUCAGUCGUGUCUGACUCUGUGCGACCCCAUAGACGGCAGCCCACCAGGCUCCACUGCCCCUGGGAUUCUCCA